ACACGCAUGACACACUGCAUAUCAAUAAGCGGAGGAAAAGAAACUAACAAGGAUUCCCCUAGUAACGGCGAGUGAAGCGGGAAGAGCUCAAAUUUGAAAUCUUCAAGGUUUGACCUUGACGAAUUGUAGUUUAAAGAAGUGUUUUCGGUUAGAGGAGUAGUAAAAGUUCUUUGGAAUAGGACAUCAUAGAGGGUGAGAAUCCCGUAUUUGACUAUUCUUUCUAGCUUUGUGAUACACUUUCAAAGAGUCGGAUUGUUUGGGAAUGCAGUCCAAAAUGGGUGGUAAAUUUCAUCUAAAGCUAAAUAUUGGCGAGAGACCGAUAGCGAACAAGUACCGUGAGGGAAAGAUGAAAAGAACUUUGAAAAGAGAGUUAAACAGUACGUGAAAUUGUCAAAAGGGAAGCGUUUGACACCAGUGUUGUUUUUCCGAAAAUCAAUUAAAAAUUGAUUCAUGCCAGGUUGUAUUGACCUUAUCAGCUUGCAAUUUGGUUUUGGGUCUCUUUUUGAUGCACUUUUCGGUUAACAAGUCAACAUCAAUUUCUUUUGUUGUAAAAAGGGUCAUGAGGAAGGUGGCUUUCUUUUCGGAGAAAGUGUUUAUAGCCUUUGUACCUCCUGCAAUCGGAGAGACUGAGGUCUGCAGCGUAGAUCCUUCUGGGAUUAGAUACAUUUGUGCUAAGUUAUAGCUUUUCAUAGACAACUUGUUGACUAUGUUAAGUCUUGUAGCUUACUCGCUUAUGUAUUUUACCUACGCUUAGGAUGUUGACGCGCGUGUGUGCGUG
rnacentral:rRNA from 1 species